AAAAUGCGAUAAGUAAUGUGAAUUGCAGAAUUCAGUGAAUCAUCGAAUCUUUGAACGCACAUUGCGCCCGCCAGUAUUCUGGCGGGCAUGCCUGUUCGAGCGUCAUUUCAACCCUCGAGCCCCGGGUUUGGUGUUGGGGAUCGGGCUGCGGUUCUACCGCGUCCCGGCCCCGAAAUCUAGUGGCGGUCUCGCUGCAGCCUCCAUUGCGUAGUAGCUAACACCUCGCAACUGGAACGCGGCGCGGCCAAGCCGUUAAACCCCCAACUUCUGAAUGUUGACCUCGGAUCAGGUAGGAAUACCCGCUGAACUUAAGC
rnacentral:misc_RNA from 1 species